CUCUUCCCCGAAACAUGUCCCUCUACUCCCUCCCCUCCCGCUCGCACUCUCUCUCUCUCCCUUUCUCCCCCUUCCCUCCAAUAGAACCAAAACCACACAACCCUAGAAGAUGGUGGCCGGCUCAUCUCGGAGGUGUAGCCUGGCAUUGACUCGUCGGAGGAAGGCGAAGAAGAUGGUGAUUACGGUGAGUCCACCCCGGUGGUCAGAGAUCGGUGACGGAGGAGAGGGAUUCCUCCAAAUCCACUUUCUCUCUCCUUUCCCUCUCUCUCGUCUGUGCUUCUCUCUUCUCUCUCGUCUGUACUUUGGUCUCAAGUAAACAUUGAGGCAAAGAAAUCCAAGGAGGAUCUGAAGGAAGCCUGCUGGUCUCUCUUGUUUCAUGAUUUUGUGGCAAACUGCUUGACAAAAGAACAUCGGGUUGAAGAGUGACGGGUCAGAGUUUUUGGAAAACGGUGAAGCGGAUGGAUCAGAUGAUGAAUUCAACAAUGGGAAUGAAAGAAGUUGUUCGUGUGUGGUUAUGUAGAUUGGCUUGUACCUGAUGAUGAUUUAGGGUUGGACUUCUCUUUAGAUGCAACAAUGCAUCAGAGUUUUUGGAAAACGGGUGGGGUCCGGAGCUCAACUUUCCCAUCACAUUUCAGUUAAUUAAAGAUACAUGGAUCAAUAUGAUUGAGAAUUCAGUAUUUCUGGUCUCAUCUAGAUCUGCAUUAUCCCAUUGUUUCGUGUCAGUUGGAUGUUUCUAUGUUCAUACUGUAUAUAUACCAGCUUUCGAAUCCCUCCAGCUUCUUGCUUUUUCACUUUUUGGUCUGAAAGCUUAUGUGAAAGCCAAAGCAUUGCCCAAAAAGCUGGAGAGAGAGCCAAUAGGUUUCGUGGGUGUUGAUUAAUUACAUGUUUCAUCUCAAGCAAUUGUCUCUCACACUAAAUGUUAUAAUUGGAUGAAAAUAGAAGUUAUGUGAGUACUCCGCUAAUGCUUAUUUGUUUGUUGAUGUACUUGGUUUUGGGGAUUUAUCUGUAGUUUAAGGUAGGUCAUUAUAACAGGAGCUAUUGAGUUUUUUAGUAUUGUCUACUUUUCUGUCCUUUUCUUUUGCUAGUUCAAAUUAAUCCUAAUGUGUUCUUGUUGCUCAAAAUCCUAUUGGGUUAUGUUUGUUUGGACUGAAAAUUAGCUAAAGAACGAUAUCCUAAUGUCUUAUUAUAUAAUGGCCAGAUACAAGUGCUCCAAGGAUAAACAUAUGCAAUUGUUGAGACAUUCAAGGAGACUGAUUGCAGCUGGAGCAGGAAUUGCCUUAAUUGAUUCAGUGGUAGAAGAGUCAAAGAACAGCAGGGAUCCACCUACUGGUUUUGCUUUAAUAAGACCUCCAGGACACUAUGCAAUUUCAAAGGGUCUGAUGGGGUUUUGUGUGUUUGGAAAUAUUGCAAUUGCAGCUCAUUAUGCUCAACGUGCACAUGGCUUGAAGGGUGUCUUUAUAAUUGAUUUUGAUGUUCACCACGGGAAUGGGACAAAUGAUGCUUUCUAUGAGGAUCCGGAUAUAUUCUUCCUUUCAAAUCACCAAAAAGUAGUGCAAAGAUGGCCUUGCUUAUGGAAUGGUACACAAUGACCGUUUUACUUAUUUGCAAGCCUUUUGUUUUGUAUAUGGAGAAGUUUAGGCCAUAUGUCCCCUUCUCCCUACUCUUUGUACACUUUUUAUCAAAAAUAGUAUUAAUGAGAAUUUUCUUUUGGUUA